rnacentral:rRNA from 1 species
CGGUGGAUGAUGUGGAUUAAUUCGAUGCAACGCGAAAACCUUACCUACCCUUGACAUGUCCGGAAUCCCGAAGAGAUUUGGGAGUGCUCGCAAGAGAACCGGAACACAGGUGCUGCAUGGCUGUCGUCAGCUCGUGUCGUGAGAUGUUGGGUUAAGUCCCGCAACGAGCGCAACCCUUGUCAUUAGUUGCCAUCAUUUGGUUGGGCACUCUAAUGAGACUGCCGGUGACAAACCGGAGGAAGGUGGGGAUGACGUCAAGUCCUCAUGGCCCUUAUGGGUAGGGCUUCACACGUCAUACAAUGGUCGGUACAGAGGGUUGCCAACCCGCGAGGGGGAGCUAAUCCCACAAAGCCGAUCGUAGUCCGGAUCGCAGUCUGCAACUCGACUGCGUGAAGUCGGAAUCGCUAGUAAUCGUGGAUCAGCAUGUCACGGUGAAUACGUUCCCGGGUCUU